rnacentral:rRNA from 1 species
AUUGAACGCUGGCGGCAGGCUUAACACAUGCAAGUCGAGCGGUAGCACAGGGGAGCUUGCUCCCUGGGUGACGAGCGGCGGACGGGUGAGUAAUGUCUGGGAAACUGCCUGAUGGAGGGGGAUAACUACUGGAAACGGUAGCUAAUACCGCAUAACGUCGCAAGACCAAAGAGGGGGACCUUCGGGCCUCUUGCCAUCAGAUGUGCCCAGAUGGGAUUAGCUAGUAGGUGGGGUAACGGCUCACCUAGGCGACGAUCCCUAGCUGGUCUGAGAGGAUGGCCAGCCACACUGGAACUGAGACACGGUCCAGACUCCUACGGGAGGCAGCAGUGGGGAAUAUUGCACAAUGGGCGCAAGCCUGAUGCAGCCAUGCCGCGUGUGUGAAGAAGGCCUUCGGGUUGUAAAGCACUUUCAGCGAGGAGGAAGGUGGUGAGCUUAAUACGUUCAUCAAUUGACGUUACUCGCAGAAGAAGCACCGGCUAACUCCGUG